GAUGAAGAACGCAGCGAAAUGCGAUAAGUAAUGUGAAUUGCAGAAUUCAGUGAAUCAUCGAAUCUUUGAACGCACAUUGCGCCCUCUGGUAUUCCGGGGGGCAUGCCUGUUCGAGCGUCAUUAUAACCACUCAAGCUCUCGCUUGGUAUUGGGGCUCGCGGUUCCGCGGCCCCUAAAAUCAGUGGCGGUGCCUGUCGGCUCUACGCGUAGUAAUACUCCUCGCGAUUGAGUCCGGUAGGUCUACUUGCCAACAACCCCCAAUUUUUACAGGUUGACCUCGGAUCAGGUAGGGAUACCCGCUGAACUUAAGCAUAUCAAUAAGCGGAGGA
rnacentral:misc_RNA from 1 species